UAUUGCACUUUUGUACCAACAAAUUGCUCUCCUGUAAAUUGAAAAAUAGCCACAAAAUACAAAGAGAUGACACCACUAUACUUGUAUGAGAUGAGCUGAGCUCUUUAAUUUAGCAGAAAGAUGUGACACAUAGCCUGUUGAUUGGCAUGUCCCUAGGGCACAGCCAUCUACCCUGCACACUUAGGAGUAUCCUCUUCACACCCUGUGUGGGAGUCAGUGCCAGUCAAGACACAGCAUGGACAUGCGGGCCCCUGCUCAGCUCCUGGGCCUCCUGUUGCUCUGGCUCCCAGGUGACAGAUGUGCUGCCCAAGUGACCCAGAGUCCAUCCGUGGUGUCUGCACCUGUGGGAGGCACAGUCACCAUCAAUUGCCAGUCAACUCAGAGUGUUAAUAGUAACAAUUGUCUACACUGGUUUCAACAGAAACCAGGGCAACGUCCAAAGCUCCUGCUCAGUUAUGUAUCCAGUUUAGCACCUGGAGUCCCUUCAAGGUUCAAGGGCAGUGGAUCUGGGAAAUCAUUCACUCUCACCAUCAGCGGGGUGCAGGCUGUGGACGCAGGAACCUACUACUGUGAAGCGGAAUAUAGUGGUUGGAUUCCCACAGUGAUACAAGCCCGAACAAAAACCACCCAGGAAAGCAGAAGUGUGAGUCUGGCUGCAUCAGCUGCCUGUCUUGAAACCUGUUUGUUCUAAGAGUCAUUUUCAGAUGUAGUCAGUCUGCCAUGUUCCUUGGAAGGCAGUUAGAAAACCCCUGAAUCUCCAUUGUAGCCUCACACUCUUUCCUUCUACCUGCAGCACUGAUAUUUCAUGGGGA